rnacentral:lncRNA from 1 species
UCACUGUACAAGACCCUCCCCUCCCCACAGCCAUGGGAUACACAGAUCAAGAAAGGGUCCGUGGAGCCCAACCCACUCGCCUCCCCUCUCCAGAAGCUCUUCAGAUACAAGCGGGACCUCCAAUGUAGGUGGAGGACUCACCGGUAUCCGUGGGGGAAGAGGUACUUCGGCCCGUCUCCUGCCAUGGGGGAAGGGUCUCGGGGAUUGGUGGGCAGCUUUUGAGGUGUCCUCUGUGGGUACAGGAAGUUGGGCUGGACAAAGGGGAUGUAGCUCAGCAGGGGGAUGUAGGAAGAGCGGAAGAUCUGCUGGCCCAUCUGCUGUGUGUUGUAGAGUGUCACCUGCAGGUCAGAGAGGAGAGAGGGGUGAGGUCACCAUCUUAACCCCAACUUACCCAGCCACCAUGCCUCAGCCUCUGUGCCCCUGGUCCAUGUAAGGUAUGUAGAAGACAAUAUGCUGGGAUGAAAAAAGCCCAGGGCUAAGCUUCUGUAGUGAAGCUGGCAAGUUACCUAAUUUAUCUGAGCUUCUGUUGCCUCAUCUGUAAAAUGGGCAAACACUAUCUACAUUGUGUGGGGAUCAUGUCAGUUGACACAAGUAAAGAGACAGGCAUGUAAUAAAGAGCAAUUUAACAUUAUUUCCAUGCUCUUCUCUGUCAUCUUUCCUUUCUC